rnacentral:lncRNA from 1 species
UACCGCCUGAAGAUCGUCAUGUAGAACUCACAGCUCCUUCGCCAGCGCAUUUGCCUGCACACUGCAAUACUUCCAGUUAUGACAAUAACGGACUAAACCUCUAAAACUCAACUACAACCUAAGAGCCUCGUGCCAUGCUCGCUCACCCCAUUGGGUCAGCAGGAGCUUGGAUAACGGACUUCCACAUGGUUUCCAGCCAUGGCGUAGAGCACGCACAUCAACACGGCCUCGGGUGGAUGCAUAAGCUACCCACAUCCGCAUGGCCUCUAGCAGCAGCACGGCCUAUGGACAUCACCGUGGCUUCAGGCGUUAGCACAGACUGUGGACAUCCUCACAACCUUAGGUGGUAACGGGGGCCUGUAGGGAUUAUCGUCUUGUGCACUGGGUAAAGAUUGUCUUUGUAUUAUUCAGAUGCUGGUUUCUAUGGGCGAAGGGUUGGGUACAGGCAGAACAUUGGUAUUGUUAUAGUUAUGAAGCAUCUUCACCUGUCUGUGUUCAAUAAACACUCUUC